CAUUACUCGCGCCCACAGCCCCUCCCCCCUUCAUUCCUCCACCGCCUCUCCCCUCCUCCCUCUGCCCCCGCACACACGGUUACUGCGAAGCGCCAACUAGAAUGUCCCUCCAAAACGAUCUGCAGAGCAAGACGGCGUCGCAUGUGCACUCGCACUGUGCACAUGUCCUGACGAACCGCUACCUGAACCGCGGCACCGCCUUUACGACAGAGCAGCGUAAGAAGCUUGGCAUCCUUGGUGCCCUGCCGCCCACCGUCGAGACCCUCGAGAUGCAGAUUGAGCGUGCCUGGAUGCAGCUGUGCCGCUACGACAAGCCCAUCAACCGCUACCACCACCUGGUCAGCAUCCAUGCCACGAACACGACGCUUUACUACGCCCUCGUGCUCACCCACAUCGAGGAACUGCUCCCCAUCAUCUACACGCCGACCGUCGGCGAGGCCUGCCAGAACUUCAGCAACUACUGGGUGCGUGAGCGCGGAAUGUAUUUGAGCAAGUACCUCAAGGGUCACUUCUCUGAGGUGAUGAAAGAGUCCCUGUACGACAACGUCGACGUCAUCGUUAUCACCGAUGGCUCCCGCAUUCUCGGCCUGGGCGACCUCGGCGCCAACGGCAUCGGCAUCAGCAUCGGCAAGUGCUCCCUGUACGUCGCCGGCGCCGGCCUGCAUCCAAGCCGCGUGCUGCCGGUCGUCAUGGACGUUGGCACAAACACGGAACGGUAUCUGAACGAUCGCGAGUACCUCGGCACCCGCGAGAAGCGCCUCGAUGACGAUCAGUUCUACAGCCUGCUGGACGAGUUCAUGGAAGCUGUGAAGGACACCUGGCCCUCCGCUGUCGUGCAGUUCGAGGACUUCAGCAACAACCACUGCUUCGACAUGCUGGAGCGCUACCAAAAGAAGUACCGCUGCUUCAACGACGAUAUCCAGGGCACCGGCGCCGUCAUAGCUGCUGGUUUUCUGAACGCUGUCAAGAAGUCCGGCCUUGGCCCGCUGGAACAGCGCAUCGUCGUCUUCGGCGCCGGCUCUGCCGCUGUCGGUGUGGCGAAAAACAUCGCCCAGCUGGCCUCUCGCAUGUACAACGUGGACAUUGCUGAGGUGUUGAAGACGUUCUACCUGGUCGACACGAAGGGCUUGGUGAGUGACACCCGUGGUGACAAGCUGGCGGCGCACAAGGUACUGCUGUCGCGCAAGGACAUCUCGGCCGAGGACAGCCAGAACCUGAAGUCGCUCGAGGACGUCGUGCAGUUCGUGAAGCCGACGGCCCUGCUUGGCCUGGGCGGUGUCGGUCCUGUGUUCACGGAGGCUAUAGUGAAGAGCGUCGCCGCCAACGCUGCCCGCCCGAUCAUCUUUCCGCUGUCGAAUCCCACGAGCAAGUCGGAGGUUAUGCCGGAUGAUGCGUACCGCUGGACCAACGGUGCAGCUAUUAUCGCCUCCGGCAGCCCCUUUCCGGCCUCCACCAUCAACGGCAAGACCAUCAAGCCGUCGCAGGGCAACAACCUGUACGUCUUCCCAGGCGUCGGCCUCGGCUGCGCGCUGGUCCAGCCAUCCUACAUCCCGGACGAGCUCCUGGUGGCUGCCUCGGCGUGCCUGAACCUACUCACGACCCCGGAGCAGAUGGAGGUGGAGCAGCUGUACCCGCCGCUGGAAGACAUCCAUAACAUCUCUGCCCACAUCGCCACCGAGGUUAUCAUGGAGGCGCAGCGCCUCGGCAUCGACGGAAACAAGGACCUGCCGCGCGAGAAGGAUGCCAUUCUGGCGGCCAUAAAGACAUCUCAGUGGGUGCCGCACUACCCGGCAGAGCUGGACGUCAGCCUUCUGUGAAGGACGGCGGCUAGACGUCUGCACCGUGCGACUGUAGCGCUGAGCUAAGGCGGUGCCGCUGCUUGCAUGCGUGUAUAUGUGCUGUGUGUUACUGUGUAGUUGUAUCUGCUGUGUGCACGCGCAUCUGUCGCUCAAUGCUACCUAUAGGCCCUCCUCUCCUCUUCCUGCCCCGCACCCCGGCCUCACCUCCCCCUAUCGGCCCCUUCCAUGAACGCAUGGUUACGUGCAGUGCCUUCUUCUGCGCGCCUCUGUGUCGCUGCUGCCCUUCCUGCACAUGGUCGUGUGCAUGGGGGUAUUUGUCACUCUUCGGAGUUCUUCUUUACCGUUAUCCCCCUCCCCCUCCCCCUCCCCCGCCUCCUUUUUACUUUUUGUUUUGCUUCCGUUUUUUUUUUACUUGAGAUGGCGAUGCGUGCGUACGUGUGUGUGUGUGUGUACCUGCCUUCUCUUCCUUGAACCCCGACUCCACUCAUUCCUCUUUUCGGUUUUCGUUUUGGCUUUUCUGCGGACCUCCCCCUCUUCAUCUCCCUCUCCCUCUUUCGACUCCCCCCCCGUGAUCCUCCGGCUCCUUUCACUGGGCGCCGCCUCCGUCCUGUUGUAGUUGUGUGCCUCCUUGUAUGCCUGCGUUUUCUUCUUGGGGAAGGGGGUAUCCGCUUGCGGAUGUGCCGAUGCUCAUGCUGACGCGUUCCCUUACUUAGUGCGUGCGUGAAAUUUUUUUGUCGGGGAAGGGAGGGGGACGGAUCCUCACUCCACAUGAGGUUUGCCUGUGCGCGUCGGUGGGCGUCUCUCCCUCCCUCUCGCUCUGUGUGCGUGUGUGUUGGCCCCCUGCCGGGUGUCUCUUUCGGGUGUGCGUGUGCAUCUCGUUUCUUCCGUGCGAGGAUGUCGCACUCGCCCGCCAUGCCGUGUCCUGAGCGUCUCUCAACGAGCUCGUCUCUCCCCUUUCCACGCCUCAGACGUGUUGGCGCCACCUUUUCGCUCCGGCACACUGGAGACGGCCCCCUCCCCCUCUCCCACCCUCUUCGCUUAUCCCGGAUGUCGACAAAGUCAGGGGGACGUGAGUGGGGAGGUGGGGAGAGAGAGAGACCGACAGACAGCGGGGGGAGUGGAGUCACGCACCAGAGCGAGAGACAGGCAGAGAGGGAGAGGGGGCAACCAGAAAAGGAGCAACAACGAAAACACUAACACAAGAGUGAUCGGGUAUCUUUUUCGGGCGCUUGGGGGGGUAAUGAAAGGCAGGGCAAGGGGGUGGUGAAGAUGUGGAUGAGGGAGUGUGGUCGUGCGCGUCGCCCACAGGAGCACGCUCCCUCCUCUCCCCUCCCUCCCCUCUGCCCCUCCCUCCUCUCUCCCUCUUUCCCUGCUAUGGUUAUUGUCUCACGCAGGCACACCAGCACGCAGGCCCGGGGUGUCGCUCUCCUUCUUCGUCUUGUCGCGAUGGAGCCUGACACUUGCUUCUUCAUUGGUAUAUACUAUUUCUGUUUUCUGUUACUUUCGGCUUUGUGCGUGCGCGUGUACCCAUCUCUCCUCGCAUCCGGUGCGUGGCAGCUCAGGGUUCUGCACCCCUCCCCCCGCUCCCCACUCUCUCUCUGCCUGCGUGUGUUUAGAGGGUAGGGGGUAGCCAAGCCGCCCCCACCAUCUCUGGAGGUGGCAGGGUCAUGUGCCCACGGCGCAGGGGGAGGUCAGGGCGAAUUGAUCGCUGCUGAUGUUGGCCGUCAGGUUAUGCAUGGCGUUGCGUCGGAGAGACGCGCGAUUGUGAACGUGUUUGUAUCACCCGUGUGAUGGGCAACGUGCCAACGUAUUUGACCCCGAUUUCUCCCCACGCCCGCCCCAUCUGCGGGGUCACCGCAAAACCACCACAACACCGACAACUAAAGUACUUUGUUGUUUGUUUCUCCUCCUCAUGUACAGGACAACGCAAGAACGUAUGCAUACAGAAAUUGCGGAAAGAGAGAGGGAGACGCGUCAUCCGCAUCCCUCGCUCUUUCCCCUCCUCAUCAUCUCUCAACUGUGCGCACCACCAACGGAGGACCACUGCGCGCGGCAGAUGGAGACAGACAGACGUGCGUAAAAGAAGAAAUCAGCGAUAGCACACAAACAAAACGAAUAGCAAACAUUUUUUUUGUGGGUAAAGCGGCAGCCAACGAGCGAGUAUGUGUGCUUGUGUGUGUGCGUGUAUGGGGGAUGGAGUGACAAGAAAGGGGUGUGCGCUGCUCUGCAUCGAGAAAGGUGUCACGCGGCCGAUCUCCGGCCAAGUUGGAGCGGAAAACGCCCACAGCAACAGCACCAAUACGAUAUCUCAAGAGACGUUUUCACCGCGCAUUCGUCAUGCACAUGUAUCGCUGCACACCUCGCCUCCUGCUGCCCGGCGACCGCAGCCAUGUGUCCCAUGCGUCAUCCGCGUCCCUUCGCGCAACACUACGUGCGAGAGCAAGGGACAUAGAAUUCCACAUGAAAAUGCAAGCAAGGUGAUCUGUUUGAUGCUGCACAGUGGGGCAACAAC
rnacentral:misc_RNA from 1 species